GGAGGCGUCGCAUAGUGGUCUAGUGCGCUCGCUUGGAAAGCGAGUAGGGGUAACACUCUCGAGAGUUCGAAUCUCUCCGCCUCCG
rnacentral:tRNA from 1 species